GCCACCUACACUAGGGAGGGCGGGAAUCUUGAAUCUAGGUCUUCAUUGAGAAAAUCACUGAAUUCUUCAAUUGUCGGUAAGAUGAAAGAUUCUUCUGUGGAUGUCAAAGUUGCUUCACCUGGAAGUGAUAAGCAUCCUCAAAGGGAGGCGCCUGGAAGUCUCGAUCGACAAAAAUCUUCAUCAUCACACAAAGAACCUUCACUUGUUGAGGAGCAGCAGCCGUCAUAUUCAAGAGAAAAUGAUGAAAAAAGCUACUCGCGCUGUAGUAAGGCCAAGGAAACUGAGUCUCUGACAGUUGAAG
rnacentral:misc_RNA from 1 species